AAAAUGGGGAAGGAAAAGACUCACAUCAACAUCAUCGUCAUUGGACAUGUAGAUUCGGGCAAGUCCACCACUACUGGCCAUCUGAUCUACAAAUGUGGUGGGAUCGACAAAAGAACCAUUGAAAAAUUUGAGAAGGAGGCCGCUGAAAUGGGAAAGGGCUCCUUCAAGUAUGCCUGUGUCUUGGAUGAACUGAAAGUUGAGCAUGAGCAUGGUGUCACCAUUGAUAUCUCCCUGUGGAAAUUUGAGACCAGCAAAUAUUAUGUGACUCUUAUUGAUGCCCCAGGACACAGAAACUUUAUCAAACACAUGAUUACAGGCACAUCUCAGGCUGACUGUGCUGUCUUGAUUGUUGCUGCUGGUGUUGGUGAAUUUGAAACUGAUGUCUCAUAGAAUGGGCAGACCCGUGAGCAUGCCCUUGUGGCUUACAUACUAGGUGUGAAACAACUAAUUGUGUUAACAAAAUGGAUUCCACUGAGCCUCCCUACAGACAGAAGAGAUGAGGAAAUCGUUAAAGAAGUCAGCACUUACAUUAAGAAAAUUGGCUACAACCCUGACACAGUAGCAGUUGUGCCAAUUUCUGGCUGGAAUGGUGACAACAUGUUGGAGCCAAGUGCUAACAUGCUUUGGUUCAAGGGAUGGAAAGUCACCCGUAAAGAUGGCAAUGCCAGUGGAACCACACUGCUUGAAGCUCUGGAUUGCAUCCUGCCACCAGCUCGUCCAACUGACAAGCCCUUGCGUCUGCCUCUCCAGGAUGUCUAUAAAAUUGGUGGUAUGGUACUAUCCCUGUGGGCCGAGUAGAGAAUGGUGUUCUCAAACCAGGCAUGGUGGUCACCUUUGCUCCAGUCAAUGUUACAAGUGAAGUAAAGUCCGUUGAAAUGCACCAUGAAGCUUUGAGUGAAGCUCUUCCAGGGGACAAUGUGGGCUUCAAUGUCAAGAAUGUGUCUGUCAAAGAUGUUUGUCAUGGCAAUGUUGCUGGUGACAGCAAAAAUGACCCACCAAUGGAAGCAGCAGGCUUCACUGCUCAGGUGAUUAUCCUGAACCAUCCAGGCCAAAUUAGUGCUGGCUAUGCUCCUGUACUGGAUUGUCACACUGCUCACUUUGCCUCCAAGUUUGCUGAGCUGAAGGAAAAGAUUGAUCGCCGCUCUGGAAAGAAGCUGGAGGAUGGUCCUAAAUUCUUGAAAUCUGGUGAUGCUGCCAUCGUCGAUAUGGUCCCUGGCAAGCCCAUGCGUGUCAAGAGCUUCUCAGACUAUCCUCCUCCGGGUUGUUUUGCUGUUCGUGAUAUGAGACAGACGUUGCUGUGGGUGUCAUCAAAGCAGUGGACAAGAAGACUGCUGGAGCUGGCAAGGUCACCAAAUCUACCCAGAAAGCUUAGAAGGCUAAAUGA